rnacentral:rRNA from 1 species
UACGUAGGGUGCGAGCGUUGUCCGGAAUUAUUGGGCGUAAAGAGCUCGUAGGCGGUCUGUCGCGUCGGUCGUGAAAACUUGGGGCUUAACCCUGAGCUUGCGGUCGAUACGGGCAUGACUGGAGUUCGGCAGGGGAGACUGGAAUUCCUGGUGUAGCGGUGAAAUGCGCAGAUAUCAGCAGGAACACCCGUGGCGAAGGCGGCCCCCUGGGCCGUACCUGACGCUGAGGCGCGAAGGCUAGGGGAGCGAACGGG